rnacentral:rRNA from 1 species
CCUACGGGAGGCAGCAGUGGGGAAUAUUGGACAAUGGGCGGAAGCCUGAUCCAGCAACGCCGCGUGAGGGAUGACGGCCUUCGGGUUGUAAACCUCUUUCAGUACCGACGAAGCGCCGAUGAUGGUGGUGACGGUAGGUACAGAAGAAGCACCGGCCAACUACGUGCCAGCAGCCGCGGUAAUACGUAGGGUGCGAGCGUUGUCCGGAAUUAUUGGGCGUAAAGGGCUCGUAGGCGGUUUGUCGCGUCGGGAGUGAAAACACCGGGCUUAACUCGGUGCUUGCUUUCGAUACGGGCAGACUAGAGGCAUGCAGGGGAGAACGGAAUUCCUGGUGUAGCGGUGAAAUGCGCAGAUAUCAGGAGGAACACCGGUGGCGAAGGCGGUUCUCUGGGCAUGUCCUGACGCUGAGGAGCGAAAGUGUGGGGAGCGAACAGGAUUAG